rnacentral:rRNA from 1 species
AUUGAACGCUGGCGGCAUGCCUUACACAUGCAAGUCGAACGGCAGCACGGGUGCUUGCACCUGGUGGCGAGUGGCGAACGGGUGAGUAAUACAUCGGAACAUGUCCUGUAGUGGGGGAUAGCCCGGCGAAAGCCGGAUUAAUACCGCAUACGAUCUACGGAUGAAAGCGGGGGACCUUCGGGCCUCGCGCUAUAGGGUUGGCCGAUGGCUGAUUAGCUAGUUGGUGGGGUAAAGGCCUACCAAGGCGACGAUCAGUAGCUGGUCUGAGAGGACGACCAGCCGCACUGGGACUGAGACACGGCCCAGACUCCUACGGGAGGCAGCAGUGGGGAAUUUUGGACAAUGGGCGAAAGCCUGAUCCAGCAAUGCCGCGUGUGUGAAGAAGGCCUUCGGGUUGUGAAGCACUUUUGUCCGGAAAGAAAUCCUUGGCUCUAAUACAGUCGGGGGAUGACGGUACCGGAAGAAUAAGCACCGGCUAACUACGUG